rnacentral:rRNA from 1 species
GGAGGUCACUGCUAUUGGGAUUCGACUAAGCCAUGCGAGUCGAGAGGGUUCGGCCCUCGGCUGACGGCUCAGUAACACGUGGAUAAUCUGCCCUUAGGUGGAGGAUAACCUCGGGAAACUGAGAAUAAUACUCCAUAGAUCUAGGAGGCUGGAAUGCAUCUAGAUUAAAAGCUUCGGCGCCUAAGGAUGAGUCCGCGGACUAUCAGGUUGUAGUCAGGGUAAAGACCUGACUAGCCUACGACGGAUACGGGUUGUGAGAGCAAUAACCCGGAGACGAUAUCUGAGACACGAUAUCGGGCCCUACGGGGCGCAGCAGGCGCGAAAACUUCACACUGUGCGAAAGCACGAUGAGGGGAUCCCAAGUGCUGGCUCGAAAGAGUCAGCUGUUUCAUUGUCUAAAAAACAGAGAGAGUAAGAGCUGGGUAAGACGGGUGCCAGCCGCCGCGGUAAUACCUGCAGCUCGAGUGGUGGCCGCUAUUAUUGGGCCUAAAACGUCCGUAGCCGGCUUAGUAAAUGCCUGGGUAAAUUGUGUAGCUUAACUAUACGAAUUCCGGGUAGACUGCUAGGCUUGAGAUCGGGAGAAGCUAGAGGUACUCCUGGGGUAGAGGUGAAAUUCUGUAAUCCUAGGGGGACCACCAGUGGCGAAGGCGUCUAGCUAGAACGGGUCUGACGGUGAGGGACGAAGCCCUGGGGCGCGAACCGGAUUAGAUACCCGGGUAGUCCAGGGUGUAAACGCUGCUUGCUUGAUGUUAGUUGGGCUCAGAGCCCAACUAGUGUCGGAGAGAAGUUGUUAAGCGAGCUGCCUGGGAAGUACGAUCGCAAGAUUGAAACUUAA